rnacentral:rRNA from 1 species
UACGUAGGGGGCAAGCGUUAUCCGGAUUUACUGGGUGUAAAGGGAGCGCAGGCGGCGUGGCAAGUCAGAUGUGAAAACCCGGGGCCCAACCCCGGGAGUGCAUUGGAAACUGGCGGGCUGGAGUGUCGGAGGGCAGGCGGAAUUCCUAGUGUAGCGGUGAAAUGCGUAGAUAUUAGGAGGAACACCGGUGGCGAAGGCGGCCUGCUGGACGAUGGACUGACGCUGAGGCUCGAAAGCGUGGGGAGCAAACAGG